rnacentral:rRNA from 1 species
UGCCCUAGUAACGGCGAGUGAAGCGGCAACAGCUCAAAUUUGAAAUCUGGCUCUCGGGCCCGAGUUGUAAUUUGUAGAGGAUACUUUUGAUGCGGUGCCUUCCGAGUUCCCUGGAACGGGACGCCAUAGAGGGUGAGAGCCCCGUCUGGUUGGAUGCCAAAUCUCUGUAAAGUUCCUUCAACGAGUCGAGUAGUUUGGGAAUGCUGCUCUAAAUGGGAGGUAUAUGUCUUCUAAAGCUAAAUACCGGCCAGAGACCGAUAGCGCACAAGUAGAGUGAUCGAUAGAUGAUAAGCACUUUGAAAAGAGA